AAACUAUGGUGGGGACACUUAAAGAGUAAAUCAAUAAAUCUUUCCCAACACUCAUAAAAUUGCUCACCCACUCUUUGAUAAAACUCACUUAUCUCUCACCUAAGGGU
rfam:Citrus sinensis cultivar Ridge Pineapple sweet orange scaffold02176_contig_1, whole genome shotgun sequence.